GGCUAGGUAGCGGUGAUAAUCGCUCUUUAUCUUGAGGUAGAAGAUCUUGAAGUUGACGGUAGCGAGGUUGAGGCUGUUACUGACGAGCCUGCUGAGAUUGGUCUGCUGUUUGCGAGGGGCGAGCCGUCGAUGUCCGGGAACUCGUCGAACGAGCCUGUGCUGGCGCCUGAGAGCUCGCUGUUGAUGUCCGCGGGCCGUUCACCGCCGCGCACCAAUCGCGGCGCAUUCUGCAGCGCGUCCGCCGCUGAUCCAUAGCUGUCGCAGCACGACUGCAGGAUGUUCUGCAGCACCUUCUCGGCAGCUG
rnacentral:lncRNA from 1 species